AUACAGAGGGUGCAAGCGUUAAUCGGAUUUACUGGGCGUAAAGCGCGCGUAGGUGGCUAAUUAAGUCAAAUGUGAAAUCCCCGAGCUUAACUUGGGAAUUGCAUUCAAUACUGGUUAGCUAGAGUAUGGGAGAGGAUGGUAGAGUUCCAGGUGUAGCGGUGAAAUGCGCAGAGAUCUGGAGGAAUACCGAUGGCGAAGGCAGCCAUCUGGCCUAAUACUGACACUGAGGUGCGAAAGCAUGGGGAGCAAACAGGAUUAGAUACCCUGGUAGUCCAUGCCGUAAACGAUGUCUACUAGCCGUUGGGGCCCUUGAGGCUUUAGUGGCGCAGCUAACGCGAUAAGUAGACCGCCUGGGGAGUACGGUCGCAAGACUAAAACUCAAAUGAAUUGACGGGG
rnacentral:rRNA from 1 species